GCCGGGAUCGCAUAAUCUGGUAUUGCACUGAUUCAGCUGAGUUAGUCUCUCUGAAGUGUAAGCCUUGAAAUAAUACGCAGGUUAGCCAGGCCCUAACGGGCAUCUGGGUUCAAAUCCCAGUCCCGGCG
rnacentral:tRNA from 1 species